CCUUGGCGCUUGCCACUGCCUGUUGCAAGCCUCUGAUUUUUGUCUUUCUUUUCUUGCAGAUUCAUCCAUUGUCGCCGGUGCCUCCUUCUAUCUGGCCUUCACGGAUCAGUGGUGCUGCUGUGUGAAUGAGAGGAGAAGAGGGUAGAUGAGAGGAUUGCUACUGUCUCACCUGCCUCUCCGUCUUCUUCUACUACGUCCUAGGGAACUGGCAAAAGAUUUUUGUGGUUUUUAAUACUACUUCGGAAUCAUUAUA